UACGUAGGGAGCAAGCGUUGUCCGGAAUCAUUGGGCGUAAAGCGCGCGUAGGCGGCCCUGUAAGUCCGCUGUGAAAGUCAAAGGCUCAACCUUUGAAAGCCGGUGGAUACUGUCGGGCUCGAGUCCGGAAGAGGAGUGUGGAAUUCCUGGUGUAGCGGUGAAAUGCGCAGAUAUCAGGAGGAACACCAAUGGCGAAGGCAGCACUCUGGGACGUGACUGACGCUGAGACGCGAAAGCGUGGGGAGCAAACAGG
rnacentral:rRNA from 1 species